UGCGUAGGCGGCUUCGUAUGUCGGAUGUGAAGUCUCACGGCUCAACCGUGAAACUGCAUCCGAAACUGCGGGGCUCGAGUACUGGAGAGGAGAGCGGAAUUCUCGGUGUAGCGGUGAAAUGCGUAGAUAUCGAGAGGAACGCCGGUGGCGAAGGCGGCUCUCUGGACAGAUACUGACGCUGAGGCACGAAAGCGUGGGGGAGCAAACA
rnacentral:rRNA from 1 species